rnacentral:rRNA from 1 species
CCUACGGGAGGCAGCAGUGGGGGAUAUUGCACAAUGGGGGGAACCCUGAUGCAGCGACGCCGCGUAGGUGAAGGAGUGCUUCGGCAUGUAAAGCCCUAUCGGCAGGGAAGAAGCAAGACGGUACCUGACUAAGAAGCCCCGGCUAACUACGUGCCAGCAGCCGCGGUAAUACGUAGGGGGCGAGCGUUAGCCGGAUUCACUGGGUGUAAAGGGAGCGUAGACGGCCAAGCAAGCCAGGGGUGAAAGCCCGGGGCCCAACCCCGGGACUGCCCUUGGAACUGCAUGGCUGGAGUGCGGGAGGGGCAGGCGGAAUUCCUGGUGUAGCGGUGAAAUGCGUAGAUAUUAGGAGGAACACCAGUGGCGAAGGCGGCCUGCUGGGCUUUUACUGACGCUGAGGCUCGAAAGUGUGGGGAGCAAACAGGAUUAGAUACCCGAGUAGUC